rnacentral:rRNA from 1 species
UACACUCCUGCGGGAGGCAGCAGUGGGGAAUAUUGGACAAUGGGCGCAAGCCUGAUCCAGCCAUGCCGCGUGAGUGAUGAAGGCCCUAGGGUUGUAAAGCUCUUUCACCGGUGAAGAUAAUGACGGUAACCGGAGAAGAAGCCCCGGCUAACUUCGUGCCAGCAGCCGCGGUAAUACGAAGGGGGCUAGCGUUGUUCGGAUUUACUGGGCGUAAAGCGCACGUAGGCGGACUAUUAAGUCAGGGGUGAAAUCCCGGGGCUCAACCCCGGAACUGCCUUUGAUACUGGUAGUCUUGAGUUCGAGAGAGGUGAGUGGAAUUCCGAGUGUAGAGGUGAAAUUCGUAGAUAUUCGGAGGAACACCAGUGGCGAAGGCGGCUCACUGGCUCGAUACUGACGCUGAGGUGCGAAAGCGUGGGGAGCAAACAGGAUUAGAAACCCGUGUAGUCCC